AUUGAACGCUGGCGGGAUGCUUUACACAUGCAAGUCGAACGGCAGCGCGGACUUCGGUCUGGCGGCGAGUGGCGAACGGGCGAGUAAUGUAUCGGAACGUGCCCAGUAGCGUGGGAUAACUACGCGAAAGCGUAGCUAAUACCGCAUACGCCCUACGGGGGAAAGGAGGGGAUCGUAAGACCUUGCACUAUUGGAGCGGCCGAUAUCGGAUUAGCUAGUUGGUGAGGUAACGGCUCACCAAGGCGACGAUCCGUAGCUGGUUUGAGAGGACGAGCAGCCACACUGGAACUGAGACACGGCCCAGACUCCUACGGGAGGCAGCAGUGGGGAAUUUUGGACAAUGGGGGCAACCCUGAUCCAGCCAUCCCGCGUGUGCGAUGAAGGCCUUCGGGUUGUAAAGCACUUUUGUCAGGAAAGAAACGUCGCGGGCUAAUACCCCGUGGAACUGACGGUACCUGCAGAAUAAGCACCGGCUAACUACGUG
rnacentral:rRNA from 1 species